rnacentral:rRNA from 1 species
AUGCGGAGGGUGCAAGCGUUACUCGGAAUCACUGGGCGUAAAGCGCGCGCAGGCGGGCUGAUAAGUUGGAUGUGAAAGCCUACGGCUCAACCGUAGAACUGCAUCCAAAACUGUCAGUCUAGAGUGUGGGAGAGGAAGAUGGAAUUAGUUGUGUAGGGGUAAAAUCCGUAGAGAUAACUAGGAAUACCAAAAGCGAAGGCAAUCUUCUGGAACACUACUGACGCUGAGGCGCGAAGGCGUGGGGAGCAAACAGGAUUAGAAACCCCUGUAGUCC